rfam:Loktanella soesokkakensis strain CECT 8367 genome assembly, contig: 0024
CGACUUUGCGCAGGCGAAGCUCGACCGCCGGUCGAAAUGAUGGUCGCCUUCAUCGACGAACAUCGCCGAGAGCACGGGGUCGAGCCGAUCUGCAAGGUGCUGCCGAUUGCCCCG